GACGAACGCUGGCGGCGUGCUUAACACAUGCAAGUCGAGCGGUAAGGCCCUUUCGGGGUACGACGAGCGGCGAACGGGUAGGAGUAACAACGUGGGUGGACCUCGCCCUCCAGCUCUGGGAGUAAGCCUCGGGAAACCGGGGUACCGUAAUAACCGGACGUAUGACUCCACUGACGCAUGUUGUGGGGUGGGAAAGACCUU
rnacentral:rRNA from 1 species